rnacentral:rRNA from 1 species
AGAUUGAACGCUGGCGGCAUGCUUUACACAUGCAAGUCGAACGGUAACAGGCCGCAAGGUGCUGACGAGUGGCGAACGGGUGAGUAAUGUAUCGGAACGUGCCCAGUCGUGGGGGAUAACGCAGCGAAAGCUGCGCUAAUACCGCAUACGAUCUAUGGAUGAAAGCGGGGGACCGUAAGGCCUCGCGCGAUUGGAGCGGCCGAUAUCAGAUUAGGUAGUUGGUGGGGUAAAGGCUCACCAAGCCAACGAUCUGUAGCUGGUCUGAGAGGACGACCAGCCACACUGGGACUGAGACACGGCCCAGACUCCUACGGGAGGCAGCAGUGGGGAAUUUUGGACAAUGGGCGCAAGCCUGAUCCAGCAAUGCCGCGUGCAGGAAGAAGGCCUUCGGUUGUAAACUGCUUUUGUACGGAACGAACGGUCCUAGGUUAAUACCGUGGGACUAAGUGACGGUACGUAAGAAUAAGCAACCGGCUAACUACGUGCCAGCAGCCGCGUUAACG